rfam:Asian citrus Psyllid, Diaphorina citri - Florida Strain, whole genome shotgun sequence.
GCCCUAGUUAGCUUAGUUGGUAGUGCGUCUGGCUUGUAAGCGCUAGGCCGCGCGGGUUCGAUUCCCGCCCGGGGCG